rnacentral:rRNA from 1 species
GAUGAACGCUGGCGGCGUGCCUAAUACAUGCAAGUCGAGCGAACGGACGAGAAGCUUGCUUCUCUGAUGUUAGCGGCGGACGGGUGAGUAACACGUGGAUAACCUACCUAUAAGACUGGGAUAACUUCGGGAAACCGGAGCUAAUACCGGAUAAUAUUUUGAACCGCAUGGUUCAAAAGUGAAAGACGGUCUUGCUGUCACUUAUAGAUGGAUCCGCGCUGCAUUAGCUAGUUGGUAAGGUAACGGCUUACCAAGGCAACGAUGCAUAGCCGACCUGAGAGGGUGAUCGGCCACCCUGGAACGGAGACACGGUCCAGACUCCUACGGGAGGCAGCAGUAGGGAAUCUUCCGAAAUGGGCGAAAGCCUGACGGAGCAACGCCGCGUGAGUGAUGAAGGUCUUCGGAUCGUAAAACUCUGUUAUUAGGGAAGAACAUAUGUGUAAGUAACUGUGCACAUCUUGACGGUACCUAAGCAGAAAGCCACGGCUAACUACGU